UGUUGAUCCUAAUAAUGUCAC
rnacentral:siRNA from 1 species